GACGAACGCUGGCGGCGUGCUUAACACAUGCAAGUCGAACGGAAAGGCCUGCUUUCCCUUGUGGAUUGCGGGUACUCGAGUGGCGAACGGGUGAGUAACACGUGAGUGAUCUGCCCCCAACUUGGGUAUAAGCCUGGGAAACUGGGUCUAAUUCCCGAUCGGACUGCAGGGUGGUGCCUGUGGUGGAAAACGAUUUUCUAGUGGUUGGGGAUGAGCUCGCGGCCUAUCAGCUUGUUGGUGGGGUAAUGGCCUACCAAGGCGGCGACGGGUAGCCGGCCUGGGAGGGUGGACGGCCACAUUGGGACUGAGAUACGGCCCAGACUCCUACGGGAGGCAGCAGUGGGGAAUAUUGCACAAGGGGCGGAAGCCUGAUGCAGCGACGCCGCGUGGGGGAUGACGGCCUUCGGGUUGUAAACUCCUUUCGACCGCGAGGAAGCCACCUGGUUGGAAGGGUGGUGACGGUAGUGGUAGAAGAAGCACCGGCUAACUACGUG
rnacentral:rRNA from 1 species